AAGGAACUAGGCAAAAUAGUACCGUAACUUCGGGAGAAGGUACGCUGUUGAUGGUGAAGGAUUUACUCCGUAAGCUAUCGGCAGCCUCAGAAACUAGGCCGCUGCAACUGUUUAUUAAAAACACAGCACUCUGCAAACACGAAAGUGGACGUAUAGGGUGUGAUGCCUGCCCGGUGCUGGAAGGUUAAUUGAUGGGGUUAGCGAAAGCGAAGCUCUUGAUCGAAGCCCCAGUAAACGGCGGCCGUAACAAUAACGGUCCUAAGGUAGCGAAAUUCCUUGUCGGGUAAGUUCCGACCUGCACGAAUGGCAUAAUGAUGGCGGCGCUGUCUCCAGCAGAGACUCAGUGAAAUCGAAAUCGCGGUGAAGAUGCCGUGUACCCGCGGCUAGACGGAAAGACCCCGUGAACCUUUACUGCAGCUUUGCAUUGAACUUUGACCUUACUUGUGUAGGAUAGGUGGGAGGCUUUGAAGCUCGGACGCCAGUUCGAGUGGAGCCAUCCUUGAAAUACCACCCUGGUAAUGUCGAGGUUCUAACCCAGAUCCGUUAUCCGGAUCGGGGGCAGUGUAUGGUGGGUAGUUUGACUGGGGCGGUCUCCUCCUAAAGAGUAACGGAGGAGUACGAAGGUGCGCUCAGCGUGGUCGGAAAUCACGCAAUGAGUAUAAAGGCAAAAGCGCGCUUAACUGCGAGACCGACAAGUCGAGCAGGUACGAAAGUAGGUCUUAGUGAUCCGGUGGUUCUGUAUGGAAGGGCCAUCGCUCAACGGAUAAAAGGUACUCUGGGGAUAACAGGCUGAUACCGCCCAAGAGUUCAUAUCGACGGCGGUGUUUGGCACCUCGAUGUCGGCUCAUCUCAUCCUGGGGCUGAAGCAGGUCCCAAGGGUAUGGCUGUUCGCCAUUUAAAGAGGUACGCGAGCUGGGUUUAGAACGUCGUGAGACAGUUCGGUCCCUAUCUACCGUGGGCGUUGGAGACUUGAGAGGAUCUGCUUCUAGUACGAGAGGACCGAAGUGGACGUACCUCUGGUGUUCGGGUUGUCACGCCAGUGGCACUGCCCGGUAGCUAUGUACGGACGGGAUAACCGCUGAAAGCAUCUAAGCGGGAAGCCUACCUUAAGAUAAGGUCUCCCUGGGGGUUUAACCCCCCUAAAGAGCCGUUAGAGACCAUGACGUUGAUAGGUUCGGUGUGGAAGUGCGGUGACGCAUGAAGCUAACGAAUACUAAUUGCUCGUGAGGCU
rnacentral:rRNA from 1 species